rnacentral:lncRNA from 1 species
CAACCUUCUCCCCCAGUCAGCAAUGGAAGCCACCUUGGCAUGGCCUCUCCUGGUCUGGAGUCUAUUCAUCCUGUGGCUGAGAUGCAUAGAUACACCUUCAGCUCUCUGCACUGAACCCUCAAGUGCACCCAGGAGCUAGGGGGCUCUUUAUCUCAGCCCCUUUCUUUGGAGACUUUUCUUCCCAGAAGAGAAACUACCCCAUGACUCAGCCCAGCCCCAAAGUUACCAUUUGUUUAAUCAAGAUAGUUGGUUUGCAAAACAUUAAACAGUAUUUGAUGCCUAGUUAAUAAUUUGCAUCCUCUUCAUUUGUUCCUGAAUCCUUGGGGACUGACAUUUUUCCCCCCUCGAGGCAAAGACGACCAAAGAAACUGCCUCGAGAGCCAAGCCCAAGCCUUCAACUGCCAGGAUGUCACCCAGGAGGCCUGCCCUCCAUGUUCUGCUGUUAACUGUUCUUGUGGGAAAGUCAGCCGUCGGGGUAAGUGUCCUUUUCGAAGGUCUACAGUCAAGGGAUCCUGAGGUUAUUGGGAAGACGAAACCAGUUGUGCAGGGAGUGAGGACAGACGUUAGUUGGGAAAGGCAAACAUUGCCAAAUUGAGUAUGUCCUGAGUCUGAGAGGCCUUGGCACGGGCUGCUAGUCCAGGGUGACAUGCGUCUGACUUGAGCCCCCUGGGAGCAGAGCCUCCAGGAAGCAUUCCCACAAAGGAGCAGGGGGAAGAAAAUCCGCUAAGGCAUUGGUUGUUAUCUGGCAUGGAUCUCGGAGGCCCUGCUGAGAGGCCACGGAGAGCCACAGACUCUCUCCCCAGAACAGUCUGCUAAUGUGCUGGUGACGACACACCCAAGUUUCCUGCCUUUAGGAGCCAUCGCUGGGAUUGGCCCUAGAGAGGAAUCCUGCUGGCUGCAAUGGUCCUGGCAAAGGAUUUGCUUAGAUGGGUUAGAUUUGGGGAGAGGCUUCGUGGUGGGUACUUUUUCUCCUUUUUCUCCAUGACCACAGUGGCUGGGGCAGAGAGGAUGACCAGGGGCCCGAGGGAGGUUGAAGGGCGUCAGGCAGGGAAGUCCCAUCAGAGGGUCUUGGACUGGGGACUCAGAACCUUUGGGAUGAGAUGAGAGGUGGAGAUGUUGGCCCCUGCCUGCCGUGUGCUGUUGUGGUCCCAGGGUCAGCUGGAUCUCUGCAGGCAAGGGCAAGGGAGCCUUCAACAGAGGUGGACCUCCUGGGAGUUCCCUGCAGGAUGUGGGCUGAGGCAUGAGUGUGGCUCUGGGUCCAGGGGUGAAUCUCAGCUUGGCCCCUCUGUGGGUAAGGAAUGUGGGGCCAGGAACACCAUCUCUCUGAGUCUCAGUGUUCUCGCCUGAGAACCAAGUGCUAAUCUCUCACAGAUUUGGGGAAGGUCACAAUUAAAUGAGGUCAUAGAUGAGACUUUCAAUAAAUGCGAGCUCUUUUUUUACUUAAAAUUUCCAGAAUGAACACAGCUUCCCUAUAAAAAUCAGACAACAUUCUCCUCUGUUGGGGAGCGGGUGGAAGAGAGUGGGCAAAGGGUAAGAACUGAAGUAACAGCUGGAACCUCUGUAUCUUAUUAAGUACCUUUGCAGCUGACGUCCCAUUUCAUUCCAAAGAGUGCUUCCUGAAGGAAGCAGAUUAAAUUACAGGAUUUCUCAUUAGCGUGUUUUUUAGACAACAGCUUUGCCUCCUCCUCAGUAAACUCCACUCAGACACCUCUCUUAGCCACAUAGUCAGCUGCCAAGUGACUUUGGUUUCUUUUCAAAUUAUGACUCGAGCAUGAGCAGUGGCUGCAAUUACAGAUUGCUAUCAGCCCCUCUGCAUCAUUUGAUUGCUUGUUGCCGGUCUGGGCCCAACACACGGCAGAAAUCCCACAGGUCUACAGAAAGAUGGUGGAAAUUAUCAGAGGCCCCUGAGAGGCCUAGAGAAAGUACCAGUCGGAAGGAAUUAAGCCUAAAGUUUGCAGGCAAGGAGAAGGGCUGAUGCAGUCUGUUUGAAGUUCACAGAAAGGAUAAUGGUCCCGAAAAAAAUCCCUUUUUUGCAAGCCCCAGUGAAUUUUUAGGGUUAGCGAUGAAAUUAUAAGUCAAUAAUGGAUAAAAGAGAAAAUAUGAGAGAUAGCCUUCGGGCAAUGAGCUUAGUCAAUUCCAAAGAGAGGACUCGGGCUUUGGAAUGUUUUCUUACCCAGAUGUGUGCCAGACAGGUGGUCGAGAAGGCGGCUCAAAUUCCACAGGCCAGUGCAUGGGCAUCCAGAGGAAAGUGGCCAAGGCACUCAGAUGCUUUGGAGAGUUUGGGGCAUCACUGGGGGACAGAAGCCACAGAGCCACAUGGGCUGGGUGGCCUCUCCCACUCUUGUAGUUAAAAAUAAUAACCAACUUUAUCCUGGAAAGAGGAGUCCUGAGUGCUAGGGUUGAGGUUUCUGCAGAUUAGUUCAUUUCCCACAAGAAUCUUAAGUAGUAGGUAUCGUCCUUGGUCUCAUUUUACAGAUAUGGAGCAGGAUGACUUGGCUCCAAGUCACAGAGCUGGGAAGUGAAAGAGCUGAGCUUUAGAUGACAGGCCUUGGGCCCUGGCUAAGCGUGAGACCUCUUUGGUCCUCAUCACAGGAUGACAAUCCACUCUAUAGGUACCGAGGCUCUUAGAACAGGGCCCAUUGCUGGGUGGAGGGUAAUGGGUUCCAUAUGCUGCUGAAAUUCUGAAGCAAGGCAUUCGCAGGAUCUGUGAUUGCUGUCCACUGGGAAGACCUUUGGGCACUCUCCUGUGAAUUGGGUCACAUGGUGAACAUGCUGUUAACUGCUCUUUGGGAUCGUCUUUAGCUUGGAUUUUAACUUCAAUAUCUGCUCAUCAAAGAGCUAUAGGUCAAGUAUAAUUGCUGUGAAUUCUGGGGCACCCUUCCCAGGCCUUCCUGAUCUGGUCUAGAUUGGUUUUUCCAGAAUUAUCAGUUUUGAGCACCUAAACCCAGCAUAGAUGAGUGUGUGAGCCCUGCUCUCGGGUUAGAAAUAAGUCCUGUGAUGCUCAACUACUUUGCCAACCAGGACUGGGACACAGGCCUGUCCAACUCCUCAUCCAUCAUGGGAGGCCCACUUGAUUGUAAGAAUGAUGGGGACUGUCCAGAAAUCUCAUUCUACUAUAGUUCUUGGGGUCAUUUAGGGCACACUGGGCUGGUUGCAAUGGGAUUUGUCCUCUUGCAGGAUCAGAAGCAAGAGAACAGUGCUCGUGGGCCUGUCCUGUUUAUCUCAGUCCAGUCCCAGAGAGAAGCAGAGACAAUGGCAUUUUCUGUCCCUGACAAAGGGGUCUUCAAAUUAAAAUGCCUGCUUGCUCACAUUUCUGGGCUUUUUAAAUCCCGGAACUCUAGAAUCUUCCCAGGUAGAGAGCUGCAGAAACGGCUACAUCAGCCAAGGGUUGUGACUUGGCCACCCGGAGUCCAUUCUGCUCACAGUCCAGGUUUUAUUUGGCAGGUAGAAGGUCAGCCUGCUGAGUGCUCUAGUUUUCUUUUAGUUGCCAGGCAGCAUUGGAAAAUCAGAACAUUUCUUAACGGACACAGAUCUCUGAGUGUUUUGAAAAUGAGACAUUCUGGAGACACUGGACUCACAUUCAUACACUGCACCAUGAAGGGAGGAGCAAGCGUUCUGAAGCACAAGUCUCCAGGUCCUGUGGUCCCUCCACUCUCUGUGCCCUUCCCACAGAUGUGCGUGAUCUGCCUGGUUCUGUCACGAGAGAGAGAGAGAGAGAAUGAGAAAACAUGCUUGUCUGGUUAUUGCUCAGAGAUGCUGUGGAUGUCGAAGCAUUGGAGCCAGACUGGGAUGGCCAAGCAGCCAGGCCCAGCAUCUGAUUGAUUCAAGCUCCCAAAUCUUCAUGGGCUGCAGGAACAAAAUAAGGCCUUUGAUGGGCAGAUGUGAGCCAAAGUCUCAGCUCCCCAGAAUGCCCAUCUCGUUCAGAACCUAGAAGAGGCAGAAGAGGUGGCCCUUUCUCUUGGAUUCCACGUACUCUUCCCAAAAAGAGAAGGAUUGAAUUUCACCGCAACUUCUCCUACAUCUUUUUAAAAAACUGAUCCGAAGCACGAGUCCAGCUCAUUAGUUUUGGCAGUGUACACUGGUAUUUAGGGAAAUCAGGUCGCAGGAAAUCACAUGUGUGUAUAGGCACAGACACAUUUACAUUCUGAAUUCAUUAGGGUUUCCUAAAUGCAAAAGCAAUUUUGCUGCCACAGAGAAACAGCAUGGCAGAAUACUCGGCAGCCGGGAUUUUAAAUAAAACAUUGCUUUUUCUUCAUAAUUAAUAUAAUAAGGUUUCCUGGCUUAGGGCUUGGCAAAGAUCCCAGGGAAGAUAGUGGGGGGAGGGAGCCGGUGUGAUGUGCCUGUGACCUGACAAACAAGUUCCAGGAAGACUUUGCACUGAGUGAGCGCUCCUCAAUCUGCCCCUCCCCCGGGGUGCACUCAGCAAUUUGCAAAAAAUAAUACAAAUCAUCAUCGACAUCAGUGGCUAACAAUGGUAUCAAUAACAGCAGCAAUCAAUUUUAAGUCUUUAUCCUAUGCUAAAUACUGUGUGUUUUAUGUUUAUUAUCAGACUGAGGCUUUCCAACAAGUCCAGGAGGUAGGGAUUAGUGUCCCUCUCCUCUCACAGAUAAGAAACCGCGCCACAGAGAAGUUCAAUAAUCCAUUCAAGAUGGCGCCCUGGCAGGUUACAGAUAAACCCAUCUGCCCAAUGCCAGUGCUCUUAACCACUGUGGCAUGGAUCCUCUCACCGGACCCUGCCAAGGACUGUGGGACUGUUCAAUGUGGAACCAGGGGUGUCAGACGGGGCAGUGGCCUCAGACUCCUGCUUACAGCAGGAGAUCAAGUUGAUCCCACCUGAAGGCUCCUCAGGGGUCCUGAAGCUUUCUUUACCUCUGACCCUCGAAGGAUCAAGUCUUGCCAGUUAACCAACCAGUUAGGUCAGUGUUUGUCAUGAAUGAAUCCCAUCUUGAAAAUUUUUACCACAGCCCCAACUAGUUUCCCAUACUUUUGUUAAACAGACUCCCCUUUUCUCUAUCUAUACUGACUUACUUUUUAAAGGACAGUGUCUUUACCAUUAAUGGAGAACCAAACAAAACACAGGGACGUGCUGAAUUCUAGCUGGCUGUCCUCAGGCUAGAGCCCUGCCCUGAAGCCUGCUUCUCCUUGUCGGAGAGCAGAUCAGCCAGGGAUGGAGGAUGGAGACGCACCAGCCACCCGAGUCUCUCCCUGAGGUGGACCUGGGAUGGUUGACAGUAACUUGAGACUUGUUCAGACUGCAUUUCAGUGUCAUUUCAUACCCUGGCCAGGCACCACCUAAAUCAAUUCAGGGACCAGCCACGGGUCACCUGCUACAGAGUGGAAGACAGCUUUGGUGGUGGAGCUGGUGUCCAGCAGUGGGCACUUACUUUGCUGAAGCCCUGGGUGGUUUGCUGAAGUUACCUGGCCAAGCAGGUUAACGUGAGGGCUCCUGUCCGUGGAGGACCCAGACUUGGCCUACUCUUUGUUUUAUCUUCUCAUUGGUGCAUUAUCACAUCCAGAAAUGAGGGCUCAUUUUUCUCCAGUCUCCACCCUGGAAGGGCUCACUCCCUCACUUUUAGCCCCACCUCUUCCUAUUUGACCCAAGUCCCUGGGAUGGCCCAUUUGUACAGAUAUUUCUCACCUAGUGCCCACCUGAAGAGGGAUCCCUUGCAAGUCCUGUACUUGCCCUGAGAAGCAAAAUGCUCUCAAAUAAGAACCUCAGAGUGGGUAAGGGAAUUCUUAUUUUUAUAAUCGAGGAAACUGAGGCGUGGACUGAUUCAACAGCUGCACGGGAACAAAGAUAACCCUCCGUCUCCUUGGGUCACUUGGUGGGAUCCAAGUGUGGCCGAGGGUGGAAUGGGCUGCACUGGUGGUAAAUGCCCAGGGUCUGUGCUGUUACCAAGCUCUCUCCACAAUCCCUAGGCACCUGAGGUUGGAGAACCAGUGUCUUUAAAUAGCAAUUUCCCAGGUCCCCAGAUGGGACACUCUUUUCCUCCCUGCCCCUGCCCAUCCCUGAUGCUGCUGCGGCCCAGCACCCAGGUACCUGGGUACAGCUCUGAGGCAGGCACAGAGACUGGUGUCCGAACCAGGGGCCUGGGCUCCAGUCUCUCCCCACCUGCCAACCCACUCAAGUCCCCACUCGAGCCACAGACCCGAGUCUUCUUCCGUGGUAUCCAAACCUUCCACCAAAGUCUUUCCCUCCAAACUUCCCUCCUGCCCUGAGCCCCAGAAGAAAAGAUGGACGCAAAGCCACAGUGGACCUGCCAACCCCAGGACAGCUCUGAGCACCUGUGAGCUCAAGUGAGAAGGGUGAGAGUCCUUGGGCAUAAAAAGGACAGGCCAGCACCGCCUUAUUAUUGUCACAAUGGCUGUAUUUCUUAAAAAUAAAAAAAAUUGAUACUUUCUAUGUUAUUGGUUUCCAUGUUGGUGGGGAGAUGAAGACAUUGGAACCCUUCAUUCAUUUUUGGUGGGAUCAUAAAACACAUCUGCCCUGGAAAACAGUGAGGUGAUUCCUGGAAAAAUUAAACAUGGAACUACAACAACACCCAGUGGCUCCCUGUCCAGAUGGACACCCAGAGGGACUGAAAGCAGAGACACUAACAGAUAACUGUACAUCAAUGCUCACAGCAGCCUAAUAGCCAAAAUGUGUGGAGAACCCAAGUGUCCAUCAGUGAAUGAAUGCAUAAACAAAAUGUGACAGAGAUAGAUAGAUAGACAGACAGACAGGCAGGCAGGACAAUGAAACACUAUUCAGCCAUUAAAAGGAAAGAAAGUUUGAUAUAUGCUACAACAUGGACAGACCUUGAAAAUAUUAUGCAUAUGAAAUAAAACCAGUCCCUGAAGAAAAAUGUUGCAGGGUUCCUCUUAUAUGAGGCACUUAGGAGAGGCAAGUUCAGAGAGACAGAAGAAGGAGGUUAUCAGGGGAUGCAGGAAGGGAAGAAGGGGGCGUUAUUGCUUAAUGGGUGAAAGUCAUGUUGGGGAAAAGAAAAACGUUUUGCACAUAGAGAGUGGUGAUGGAUACAUUGUGAAUGCAAUUAGUGCCAAAGACGCCACCCUUAAAAGUGGUUAAGGUUAUAUAUAAUGAUACAUAUAUUUUGCCACUAUUUAAUGGAUCAAAGGGUCUAUGGGUUGGCUUAACUGUUCUUUUUCAUGACGUGGCUAAGGUUUGAGCAGAAGCAGAGAAGGAGGGUGGUAUGAGGACAGCACUUGGGCUAGUGACCUGGACACUCUCAACUGCCUCCUGUCCCCUCCACCAUUUACUUUGGCCCCAAGCUCUGCAUCUAGCAGUGGGGACUGGCCCUACUGAACUGUGUGCACAUGUCCCUGUCCCCCCCCCCCCCCCGUCCAGCAGCUGCAGACCCACUUGGCCACAGUGCCAAGUUCUCUCCUGCCGGGCUGCCCUUGGGAGUAACGUCAUCCUUCCCUGGUGGUCGGUGACAUCUGCUCCACCAGGUACCUGGUAGAACAUCCAAGAAGGAAGAGAUGGCUGAGAUUAGGGCUCCAGCCUCUCACCUACUGGGAGAAAGAUUUCUCUGCUGUAGGCCCUAUCUAGGCCUUAGGCCCCCCUCUGCCUGUCCAUCGCCUGAGAACAUUUCUACCGACUCCAUGUGAUAGCUGGAACACAGCAACUCAGCCUUUCAGCCUCAGCCUUUUGGUCUUGUCUUCCAGAAGGUGUGGAAUUCUGAAAGGCAGAGCGAGAACCUAGUUAAAAUCACGACUAGAUUAAAAUGAUCACUAGAUCGGACAAAAUAGAUUAGAGCAUCCCAAGAAAAUUAUGCUGUAAAUUUUACACUAGACCUUGAGACAAGCUUGCUGGUGGCUUGGGGAGUUUAAUGUUGCCAAGGGCCUGCUCCUGACCUCUGGAAGGUCAGAGUCCUGAGCUGUGGAGCCACUGAGAAAGUCCAAGUGUGGAGCCGAGGGACCCUCGGCUGGAUCCAUUGCAGAACACCACCUUCCGUGUGUGAGCAGCAGCCGAGUCCAGCCACCUAGGAGGAGCUGGUCAGUUGGGACACGUGGAGUUUCAGCCCCAUGGAAACUAGGAAUGGAGGUGGUUGGAGAAGUGGACAGUGUCUUGUGUGCCUUCCCAUCAGGGUGGAGAGUUGAUUGAGAUGUGUACGCCAUAGGGGACUAGCUGGGUUCACUUUUGUGCUUUCUCCCGGGACCAAAUGGCCUUUUAUGUGGUCUGCCAGGCCUGAGCCACUGCAGAUGGACCUGUUAUAAAUAUAAAGCUUUCCAAGAACAGGAUCCUGGUAUUUUAACCUAGCUCAGCAUCUGCCCCUCUUAGGGUUCUGUCUCCUUCUCCUCCACCCUUUCAUGACAGUGUCUGCAGCCUGGGUUCCCUCGGCCCUCCCAGCAGGGACAAGUAAGAGCAAGGGCACCCAUGUAAGGCUGACUCUCUGAACCCAGCUCCAGCAUUACUAGCUGAGUUAUUUGUGGCAACUUAACCUCUGCAAAUCUCAGUUUUCUCACCUCUAAAAUGGGCAUACUUAUUGUACCUAAGUUAUCCAGUAUUACGUGAGACAAACUAGACAAAAUGUAUUGCACCCAUUUAGCACAGUCUUUGGCUCAUGGUUAGCUCUACAUAAUUGUGAACUGAGAUCCUUCUUCUGGUCUCUUCUACUUCUUAGUUAUCACAACCCUCACGGCCUCUUCCUCCUCCUCUCCUCCUCUUCUUCUUCCUCCUCCUCUCCUCCUCUUCUUCUUCCUCCUCCUCCUCCUCCAUCAAUCUUCCUCUAUGAAUUUGCAAGUCCAAGAGUAAGAGUUCUUCUACAUUUUGCUGUCCCUGUGGGAAACGGAGCAGACUCAUGGGACAAAAGGAGCAGGUUCUGUGUCCGUCAUUCUGCUUGCAGGCCUGUCCUGGUCAGUUUCAGGAGUGUGGCCCUGAAACUGCGUGUUCCCAGCUCUGAGGGCCCCCUACAGUAUACCCAGAUCUGCAGCCUGGGUUUCCGGCUCCCACGUCCCAUCGCAGCCUCUCUGUGGGUGGACACAGUGAGUCACAGAGUGACUUGCCUCUGCUGCAAAAGUGGGCAGCGGCAGUCAGCCUCCUGAGAGGUCAGCUCUGCGCAGGAAGUCCAGCUGCCUCCUAACCUGGUUACUGCCGAGAGCCGCCUUGGAAGGGCGUGCCUGCCACCUGCUGGCCAAGGGCAGCACGACACCUGGGUGUCCCUUCGGAUCUGUUUAGAGCCAAGAUUCACGCUCUGGCUCAGGCCCAGGUCCUGAAGACCCUUCCCUGGUGGGGUCCAAGAAAGGGUGUCCCCACAGUCCUCUCUCCUGUCCCUCACACUUCUCAGGGCUGAUGGUAGCCAGGCACGGGCCACCCUCCUCAGUUCAGAGAGAAGAGUUCCUGCGGUACCUCCUGAGGAGAGGGCAGCCCUGUCCUCUGGACAAGUUCAAUGGAGGGAAGGUGGAGCAGGGUACAGCGACCAGGGCCAAGCACCAACCAGUGGCUGCAGUGAGGCAAGGUUGGAGGAGGAGUGAUGUCUGUCCCCAGGGCCCCCAUGCCCCAUGCUGACACCCAGAGCGUCCUCAGGUGCUCCCUGUACCUGACCCCCUCCCUAGGCAAGACUCCCAGCCCAGCCCCCCAACAAAACACCUGCCCCCGCCUCACUGGUGUAGAAAAUGGGGCAGAGGUACAGGCCCAGACCUCACAGGACGGCCCCUCUUUGCUUUUCUCCUUCUUUGGCAUUCCUUUCUCCUCCCUCAAUUUUUAUUUUGUGAGUUUUCAAACCUACAGAAAAAUGGAAAUAAUAACAACACAGUGGACAUCCUUCACCCUCCGAGAUCAAUUGUUAACAUUUUGCCACUUUCAUGCUCCCUUCUCCUGUGUGUGUGUGUGUGUGUGUGUGUGUUUUCUUUUGUUUGCUAAAUCAUUUGCAGAUAGAGAGCAGACACCACCCUAAAUACUUGAGCAGGCACAUCUUAGAAUAAGCAUUUUCCUAUGAAUUUAUGGCAACGUUAUCCAUCCCCAAGAAAUUCGACCCUAUAUGGUAAUACCAUGUAAAUAUUUAAACUACCCAGUUGUCUCAGUCAUGACCUUUGUGGUGGUGCUUCUCUUAAAUUCAGGAUCCAAUCAAAGGACCACACACUGAAUUCAGUUGCCAAGUCUCUUGAAACAAAGGACAGUCCUCCAUUGUUUUCUCUCCUUUGAGGCUGACUCUGGAGGAGUGGAGGCUCACCCUUCUGUAGAAUGCCCCAGGGUUUGGAUCUCCACUGGGACCUGUGUGUUCCCUGAGGGUGGAUUCAAGAGGCGCCUGUUUUUCCACAUUGCUCUCUGUACUGCACAUCAGGAGGUGUUCCCUGUCUCUUCUUAUCUUCCUUUCUAAUUCGUCCGCUUCCUACUUCCCAAAGAUGUUUAAGGAAACCAACAGCAAAACAGAAAAUUAAAACUUCAGCUGCAGGUGGAGGAGGCAAAGCUAUUGAGCUGCGUGCAUCCCCUGGGUCCUGGGAGGGAGCACCCGGAGCUCAGCUUUCCUGCAGCCAGGACCCGAGGGCAAGUCUGCCCAGGGAUAAAGCUCUCAUUUUCUAAUCAGAGGUCAGCGGACUUUGUCUGUAAAGUGCCUGUAGUGGUUUUUUCUGAGCUACGCUUUCUCUGUCACAAAUAUUCUGCCCGUGUUGGCACAAAAGUAGUCAUUAAAAAAAAAAUGGGAGCUGGGGUUGUGGCUCAGUGGCAGAGUGUUCGCCUAGAAUGUGUGAGGCCCUGGGUUUGAUCCUCAGCACCGCGUAUCAACAAAUAAAAUAAAGGUCCAUUGACAACUAAAAAAAUAUAUUUAAAAAAAGGAAAAAUGGUCAUGGGACUAUUUUCCAAUAAAACUUUAUUUAUAAAGCCCAACUGUGGGGCACUGCCCCAGGGCCUUAGUGUGAGGCUCCCUGUUUGAAGGGAAAGAACCUAUUCCAGUUAUGGGGUGAGUUCAGGUUUCUUCUUCUGGUUAAGAACUGCAUUCUAAAGGGAACUGUUUAUAUCACUCAUCAGCAAAACCUUCUGAGGAAUGCCACGGGCCAGGCACAUGCUAGACAUUGAGUGAUGCGCCCGUGACAAGAUGAAGAUCUCCAUAGAAUCUAAUCUCAGAGGCAGAGGACAGGCAAAAGUGAACAAGUAUAAAACGAGGCUGUAAUGAGGACCACGGUGGGGAUAAACAAGUGUAGUAACAGAAAAACAAAAAUAGAGUGAGGGAUGUCCUACUGAUUGAUAGGGUGCUUGGGGAAGGCCUUCUUAAGAGGAUGGCAUUUAAAUUGAGACCUGGUAGACUGUGGGGAAGGAGGUCCAGGUAGUGAAGACAGCCAGUCCAAAGGCCCUGAGGUGGAAGGAACUUGGCUUGUGCCAUUUAGAAGCUGGGUGUGGCUGGUGCUUAGUAAAGGGCAGGGGGAGGAAGGAGUAUGGGAAGAGGUUGGAGGUCCAGGUGGGUGCUCGUAAUUUAUUCCAAGAACAACGGAAAUGUCUGGUGAGUUUUAAGCAUUUGCCCACCCCCAAUCCCCAAAGGCUGUCACUCGGACUUGAGCCUAAAUUCAGACCUCGUCACAGCUAUGUGACCUGAGUCUGCCUUUCUUCCUCAAAGGCCUCCCAUGGGGUUGUUAGAACAUAAGGGGCAACCAGGCAGAUAAUCACUUCAACUGGCAGGAACGUCAGGACCUGGGCUCUGUGGGCCCACAGGUGUGUGCAGGCAACACGAGUCUCUGCUGAGGAGGAAAAGGGGCAUCUACAAGUAGACCCCACCCCACUCAGAAGGCGCCCAGUGCUCCUGUGUCCUGGAUCUGGUCCUCUCUGGCUUCCGGAAGGACAGGGAGUGCCCCGCUGCCUGGCCUGGCCUGGUCCAACGUGCUGUGUCUGUUGCUUUGUUUUUCAGUUCUCCUUGAUGCCUUUCCUCGAUGACCUGGACCCAGGUGAGUGUGCUGACCACCCUGUGGCUUCCCACCCUCCUAGUGAUUCCAAGCUGGAGGAAGGGCAGAUAUUACAGGGCUCUCAGGUCCAGCUGGUUCAGAGGGGUCACAGACCCCUUAGGGAAUUUUUCCAGGAACAUUCCCCUCACUCAGUGCUUUGCACAACUUCAAGUUGCCCUGGGACACCUCGGAUGGCCAGUCUGAGAAGCUCAGGGGGAAAGCUCCCUCAUCUUACAGAGAAAGAGACCGAGACCCAGAGAGGGAGGCAACUUUCUCCUUGUCCCACAGCCCGUUGGUGGCUGAAGUGACAUACAAAGGCUAAGCCAGGGUGUGCCUGAGCGAUGGCCGGCUUCAGGAAGGCGGACCCACUAGACCCCUCUGGUGGGGAGCCAGGACCCCAUUUCCUCUACCCGGUCCCCACAGCCAUACUAACCUCCUCCAGUCAUCCUCCUGUGGUCGCUGGCUCUGGGUGCCUGUCUCCCUUGGUUCUAAGAGUCCUGAGGAGGAACCUUGGAUCAUGGCUGCCUCUGUCCAGAGGCUGACACUCCCAUGAUAGGGACUGGCACCCCCUGAGGACGGGAACCAGACACAGAGGCCAUGGUCAUGUCUGAACUUUGGAUCAAGGGCUGAUUUGGAGCAAGGCGAACAGUAGCCAGGUCAGAAGCAGCUCAGUGGUGACUUUCUCCAGCAGCCAAGCCCAGACAGACGUACAGGCAGACUGACAUAAGGAGCCCAGAGCACGAGGCUACAGGACCCCAUGGGCUCAGGGAACGCAGUGGAAAUACUCAUGGGGCCUGGGUUUUGAGAGAUUUUGCAUCUUUCCCCAAAGCUAAGGAGAGUACUUGGUAGUGUGGAAUCCAGAUCCUCUGGAGGUCACAUUCCAAGGGCUGUCCUUGUGAUGGCCAUCCAUCGCCCACACGCACAGCCAGCGAGAGGCCGAGGGGCUGGAAAGGCUGCCUCUGCCUCAGGCACCAUUAAAGGCCUGGGUGUCAAAGAGACAGAGCUGCAGAGGUUGUGGAGAGACAUAGGAGGAGACGAGAGAAGACUCAAGAGACCUCACUGUCUUCGAGUGUCUGAAAAGCAGCCCCACCCCUGGUCUAGGAGGCAACUUUGUGGAAAUUACGGAGUUUCUCUACCACAAGACACUUUACUGCCAUCUGCUAGAACGUUGUCAAAGAUGUCUACAGUGAGUUUAGACAUCCUGGAAUGGUGCAGAGAACAACUUGAACAACCCUACCUCACAGAGAUGGUGGAGAAGGAGUGGAUUCAUUCUUUGGGCCAUAAGUUUCAGAGCUGCCAUUCAGUAGAUUGGAAGCUGUAGGGUCGGGUUUGAUCUGCAGUCGGGAAGAACUUCCAAACCAGCAGAAUUCUCCAAAAAUCUGAAUGGGCCCUCAGAACCUUAGGAGUUAAUAGGUUCCCCAUCCCUGGAGGUGUUUAAGCAGAGGAUUGAGCACCCCGUGAAAUUGGGCCCUACAAGAAUUCUGCUAAUGGCUUGUGGGAAUUUGUUGAGAGAAUGAAUGGGCCCUGGGGCAGGCUGCUCCUAAGACCCACCUUGAGGUGCUCCAAGAGCCUCUGGCUGGGGGGCAGGGGGAUACUUCAUGCAAAGAGCAGGCUAGGUGUUAAGCCAUGCCCGUCAGGUGUGUGAUUGAAUGGCAUGGGGUUGUGCUUUGAUGGACUUUGUCAUCUCCUGCAGGCUCCAGACAGCAGUGUGGGGAGGGGACACUUUGUUCAUGCCCACAGGCAAGCCGCUUCUUUGGUUAGUCUUGCUAGAGACAGUGCACAGCGAGGGCCUGGCUGGAGCAGAAGGUGUCCAGUCCCAGUGGGCAGUGAAGGAGGUGGUCAUCAAACAGCACAGACUCUGCCCAUCUCCCCAAAGCAGGUGACACAGCAGCCAGCAGGCCUGCGGAAAUGCCUCUUCAAAGCUGGCUGGGCUCUGCCCUGCAACACAGGCCAAACCCAUCCAUCAGCUGUCCUUCCGCCUGCCAGCGAGGCCCUGUGCUGCGCUUGCCCCGUCAGCCAGAGUGGAAGCGUCAAAUGCAGUCCGACAGGGCUGGGCCCAGGAGAGGCCCUCGGAGGAGCUGUCCGUGCCGCCGUGAUGGAUGACGCCAACAGGGACGACAUUCCGGGGAUUUUUAUUCUGUUCCGCACAUCUGGCAAGCUCUUUAACCAGAGCAGCUGCGAAGCCCCCAUUGCAGGACCUCUGCGCUUGUUCUGAGAGAUGCUAAACGUGGACACAGUAAUCUUGGUGGAAGGACCUGGAGCACGUGCUAAAGAUAUCCCAGUGCAUGUUGCUUCCUGAAAGCUAAAACCCAUGGAGUUUCUGAAACAUAAACCCAAAAGAGGCUCGUAAAGAGGCAAACACGACUUGAAGUUAGGUAGAUCUGGGCUAGGACGCCAGGUCCUUCUGCUUUGGUUUUUCCUUAUCUGUGGAACAGAAUAGUGUCACAUAUGCCUUGGGGAUGCUUCAGGUUAAGUAAGAUAGUGCACAACCACAGGACUUAGCCUAGUGUCGACCCCUAGGAAGGAUUCAGUAUGCAAUAACCUGUCAUUAGGACUCUCUGGUUAACUGAGCAUGACCUCACCAUUCCUCCUGGUAGUUCCUAGAAACAGACUCUGAUACGUAGACAAAUCCACAAAUUUUUCUUUUUAUACCUAUAAACACUUCUGUCAGUUGCCCCUUUCUUCGCCAAGCCUCUCCUCUUUCUUGCAGCCCAAAUUCUCAUGUAAUUGGAAAUUGAACCCAAAUUUGUCUGCUACAAUCUAUCAAUGGACUGAGAAUCCACCUCCGGCAGCGAUCCUCUCUACCCAAGAAAGCAUUUGGACAAGUUCUGAGAUUCCCGUCAGGAAUUCUCUUCACUAAUUACUUAUGACCCACAUCUCACAUAGUUUUUCUCCUGAACUCACCAUUGGUCUGCCUCAAGCAGGGGCCAUCUUUGGGGGCAGAGCCAUGUGCUGGCCAAUCAGAAGGCAGGAGGCUCAGAGGCCAAGGGGGAGGUGGGUCUGCCCAACACAACUGCACACAGGGCUCUGCUAGGCACCGUGAAGUUGAACGUGGCCCUUGCUCUUAAGAAACCAACUCUCUAGUUGGAGGAAACAAAUCAGAUGGAUUAAGUGAAUCCCAGAGUGAGGUACCAUCAUCCCAAACCUAAAUUCUGCAGCCAACUGGGCCAUUAAGGGAUGUUCCUAUGCCUAAAAUAUCUAGAAUUGUUAUUCCACUAGCAACCCGACAUCACUCAAUCCUGAUGUCUGUUGUUAUUAAGUAACACAAUACCCCAAACUCAGUGGCUUCAACCAUUACCUAUGUAUUUAGAUAUUUGUUCUUGGGGUUAGCGUUUAGAUAGGGCUUAGCUGGGUAGUUCAGGUCUGGACCCAGCUGGGUGAUGUGGGCUGGGCUCAGGCUGGUAGAUGGCUGGGGCUCUUGUUCCACUGGCUUCCUGGGUCAGUACCACCCUUUGAUCUCCUUGAGACUGGCUUUCUCCUCCAGCCUACCCUGCCCGGAGCUUUCUCUGAGGACAAGGCCACAUCCCACUCUUAUUUGUAUAACUGGGUAACUCUCCAUGGUCCCCCGUGCCUUUCAGCCCCUGGCAUAAUCCUUGUCUGAUUGUAGAUGCACAACACGAGUUUCUUGUAUAGAUAGUGCUAACACGAGAGGAUAAACAAAAUAGGCAUAGAGUUUGGAGGUGGAGGAAGCCUCCUGCGUGACGCUCCCACAAGACCUUCAAAGCACACUGUGGCUCCCCCACACGUGAAGGACCUCCAUGCCUUCCUCACACAACCCUCUAUGGGGGGUGGCUUCUGCUCUGGUGAUAGGGCCACCGAGUCUCUCUCUGAUGGUUCUUUCCCUUUAACCAAGGACCCAGGACCCUGGCAAACAGGAGGCACUGUUGGUGUUGCUCAGCGGGAAUGUGAUUCGGAAUCCCUGAGAGAUGAGCAGCCCUUGCAAACAGAGCUGGGUUCAAGUCCAAAUCCUCCCACAGACACUUCACCCAUCCCCCAUCCCCUGGAAACCCCACACCGUCCCCUCUAUGUAAGAAUCUCCCAAAGGAUUUCCAGAGAUCCUUGGGGGAGGGAUCCCUGGUAGUCCAGUCAAGGUUGGCCAGUCAGACCCCUAACCCAUGGGAGCCAUGGGAGAAACCAUAGGAGCAACCUGAAGGCUCUUCUCUGUAAACACCUGUUGGAAAAACAAAAACAAAUUCUCCAAAGAAUAAAGAAAUUAUGUCAUCCCCGCAUUGUCUCUUCCAAAUGUCCGUUUGAAAUCCUUCACGUCCAACUCAGAAGAACCUUUCCUUUGUGCCGCUUCUUGGUCUUUCUCGGUGGCACUGGGAUGGAAGGAGACUUCAUUUGCUCCAGGGAGACAAUGGCCUUGUCUUCAACCUGGAUCCUCAUCCCGGGAAAGGUGGCCUCCUCUGGGACCAUUUUCAGAGUGGGGAAAAGCAGCUCAGGAGAAAUAAUGAGCAAGCAAAGGGGAGUCUGGACUUGACACUGAGAUAUGAUGGGGAACUUUGCCAAGGAGCCGGAGUUGGCGUAUUCAAAAAAGAAAUGAAAAGACGGUUCCGUUUUAAUGGGAAAGAUAAAGUGGCCAUUGUGCAAAAGUGGAUUUUUCAAAAGCCAGAGACAUAAAGACUCUAACGCAAUGAGGGAGGGGAUGGAGAGAUGAGGUGGCUGAUUAUCAGGCGUGGGUGGAGUGCCAUCCUCCACGCUCCACACCGUCCACGGGCUCCUGGCUCUGCCUGGUCCCUUUCAAGUCGCCUGUCUGCAUGGGCUCAGCUCAUUAUCAUACGCACCUCUGGACAGCUUCCCUGACUCGGCACACCCACCAGCUGGAAAGCACAAAACUAACCCAACUUCUUCCCAUUCCAAAAUCUUCCCCGCCAGCCGCAGAGUGUCUUCCAAGGCCCCGGACAACAAAGGGCUUUUUGUCAAAGUCUGGUCUAGCGUGAGAUUUACACCAGAGGCCAACUCCACGCACAGCCUUCCCGUUUGUUAGGCAAGAGCCACGACCUUAUCAAGCUUGUGCCUGGCGAGUCCUAGUUGGCAGGCGGGGUCUUGAGAGGGAAUGCUUGGAGACCCUCUCCCACGGCCACAUGUGAGUGUAGCCAAGGCCGUGGAUGAUGCCAGUCAAAGCAGUGGGGCCCUGAGGUUGAGAUCACUGCUGAGAUUCAGUGGUUACAUGGACACAAGUUGCAUCAGCUAAAAACCCUGCCAUGUAUUAGUAUGUGACCUUGAGCAAGUGACUCAACCUCUCUCAGCUUCAAUUUUCUUAACUUGAAGUCAAGCAAAUGAUACACCUGCUAGACGUGAGUGAGAAUGAAAUGAGAUGGUGCGUAGUAAGGGCUCAGUAAACACCAGCUGUUUCAAUGGCUCUGUAGACUCGGCUUGGGAGAAGCCUGAUGCUGGGACCCAAAGGAAAGUGACUUCAUGAGACUAAGGUGACGAAUAAAGUCUCACGAAGAAAUGCUCUCACAGAGCCACCCAACCAGGCGCUCCAAAGCUGCAGAAUCUGACCUGGUCCACCCCCCACGGAACCAAGGAGGCCUGCUGGGCCCCAGUCCUGCUGCUCUCAGAGGGGAAAUCGAGGCACAGAGAGGACAGUUAGUGCACAGCCAAGGCUUGACCUCCCUCACUCUCAAUCAGUGCCCUUGGCCCUGCCAAAUAACGACACAGCCUUGCGGGGUUGUAACACCCCUAAGUGAAAAGCCACAAAGCCUGAUCCUGGCUACCCACCCCCAUCAGUAUGCAGAGCUGGAAAGACACGUGCUUCCUCCUUGAGGAUUUUGAACUCUUUCAGGAAAAAGUGUUCAACUAAAUAAGAUGCUGAUGCUGAGGUUUCUUCUGUGCCGUUCCCGUCCCUGCAGAUUGGACUCCCGACUACUACGACUACAGCUCCGAGCAUCAGAACCCGGAGGAGAACACCACCUCGUGGUCGACCUACGCCGAGAAUCCCGACUGGUACUAUGCAGACGACGGUAGGUACCAGAUCUGAGUCAGGGCCCUCCGGGAAGGAGGCCACAAGCCCAAGAGGAAUUUACCUGAGACCCAGUGUAAGGGCUUCUCUUCCCUCCUCUCUGAUGAGCACCAUAAAUAGGUAUUAAAAAAUUCAUUUAGACUGGAUCUUUUUAUUUUAAGUUUUUUUUAAAAUUUAUUUAUUCCAAUUCGUUAUAUAUGACAGCAGAAUGCAUUUCAAUUUAUAGUACACAUAUACAGCAUAAUUUUUCAUGUCUCUGGUUGUACACAAAGUAGAGUCACACCUUUCAUCUUCAUACAUGUACCUAGGGUAACGAUGUCCAUCUCAUUCCACCCUCUUUCCUACCCCCAUGCCCCUCCAUUCCCCUCCUUCCCCUUUGCCCUAUCUAAAGUUCCUCCAUUCCUCCCAUGCUCCCCCCUACCCCCAUUAUGGAUCAGCAUCGACAUGUCAGAGAAAACAUUUAGCCUUUGGUUUUGGGGGAUUGGCUGACUUCACUUAGCAUGAUAUCCUCCAGUCCCAUUUACCUGCAAAUGCCAUGAUUUUAUUCUCUGUAUUCUCUAUAUUCCAUUGUGCAUAUAUACCACAGUUCCUUUAUCCAUUCCUCUACUGAAGGUCAUCUAGGUAGGAUUCACAAUUUAGCUACUGUGAAUUGGGCUGCUAUAAACGUUGAUGUGGCUGUGUCCCUGUAGUAUGCUAUUUUUAAGUCCUUUGGGUAUAACCAAGGAGUGGGAUAGCUGGGUCAAAUGGUGGUUCCAUUCCAAGUUUCCUAAGGAAUCUCCAUACUGCUUUCCAUAUUGGUUGCUCCAAUUUGCAGUCCCACCAGCAAUGUAUGAGUGUGCCUUUUCCCCCACAUCCUCACCAACACUCAUUUGUAUUCUUAAUAGCUGCCAUUCUGACUGGAGUGAGAUGAAAUCUUAGAGUAGUUUUGAUUUGCAUUUCUCUAAUUGCUAGAGAUGAACAUUUUUUUCAUAUAUUUGUUGAUUGUUUGCAUAUUAUCUUCUGAGAAGCGUCUGUUCAGUUCCUUGGCCCAUUUAUUGACUGGGUUCUUUUAGGCCCUGACUUCCUUAACAAGACUCCUAUAGUGCAAAAAAAUAAAAAUCAAUAAUCCAUAAAUGGGAUGGAUGCAAACUGAAAAGCUUCUUCUCAGCAAAAGAAACAAUCACUGUGGUGAAGAGAGAGCCUACAGUAUGAGAGCCAACUUUUAUCCCACGCACAUCAGAUAGAGCACUAAUCUCCAGGAUAUAUAAAGAACUCAAAAAACUUAACACCAAAAAAAAUAAUAAUAAUAAUAACCCAAUCAAUAAACGGACUGUAUCUUUUCCAAUUAGAAUCAUACACAAUGAGGCCUGGGGCGGGGAGGGUCUUGGAAACCAUCUCCCCAACUCUUGAAUGGCAGAUGGAGUCAGUGAGGCCAGGGGAAGAACCGGUUUGGUCAAGGUCUGGUGGCAAGCUAAUGCCUUACACUCAGGGCUCCUGACUCGGGGACUAGUAGUCAUGUUCAAAGUCCAUUCUGAAGCUUUGAUCUCAGGCUGGAUCCGAGUUAUGCAGAAGGAUCUACGUUAUCCUGGAGCCCUGAGUGUGGGAUCCACAGCUUGGCUUUGAGCCUCUCUUUGAGUCCAUGUUUGCUGUGUUUUUCUUUGUCCUUCGCUCUUCGGAAGGUUUAGGUAUGUUUGUGUGUCUGUGUGUGUGUGUGUGUGUGCUCACACAUGUGUGCCUCCACCACACUUGUCUUGCGGCUUCUUAACCAGAGCAAUUGGGGGCAGAAAGGAAAAUAAGAAGCUGGGUCCAGGCAAAGCCACGUGACUGAGGCAGGAGAAGGCACGGAAAUCAGGGAGCAAGUGGAAUAAAAGCUGUGUUAACUGAGCAAAGUGGCCUGGAAGGCAGGGCCAAGAUAUAGGGCAUCAGGGGAACUUCAGAAGGGACCAUCAAAACAAGAGCCAGGCCCAGGGAUCCGAGUUCCUGAACCAAAGAACAAUGUGCGUGAACAGAAGGAUAAAGAAUUCCCCAAGGGGGAGGUCCAUUCAGACAGCCAUGAAAAGCCAAAGGCACAGAUGAAAUAUGACAAAAUCUAACUGAACAAGUAGUUGAAGAAAGAUGAAGGCCACUGGGUCAUUUCCUCCUUGCCGUCAAUCCUUCUGUCACCCUCCGCCUUUGGUCUUCUCUCCUGAUGUUCAGAAGCCUUGCGUUUCAUGAGGGGUGGGUUUUCUUCCCCCACUCCUGACCUCCACCCCUGGGCACUGGGAGUAGGGAGGUCUCGGGCUUGUGAAAUGCCUCCAGCAUCAGAGACAGACCCCGCAGCACUCCCAGCGAGAUGGGAGGAGAAGGACACUCGCGGGGGAGACGGGGAGUUUCGCAAUGAGAAAGGCCCAGUCCACAGUGGGCCGAGGGGCUCCAGUCUCCAUCGCUCCGUCUCCCCUCUUAUGAGCCUGAAUCCCUGUCUCUGGUCACGUGGCUUCAGUUUUCCUCGCUCUUUAAGGACGACUCACACUUUCCUCCUUUGCCCCAUCCCUGGCUGUGUUCUCACUCUCUCCUUUGGGGCCGGAGACUGAAGUCGGAUGAAAAGUGGGGGUUUCCUAUUGGCUGACCCUCACUGACCUUGACUUCUGCCCAUGUGUCUUAGAUCCGUGCCAGUCCAACCCCUGUGAACAUGGCGGGGACUGUGUCACCAGCGGGGACACCUUCACCUGCAGCUGCCCGGCCCCCUUUUCUGGGAACAGAUGUCAGAAAGGUAAGUGCAGAUUCACUCUUCCUUGGAAUGGAAGGAGAAGCCGUUCCUCCUCCAGCCCUAGCUGGAGGGCCAAGUGACCCCACGGGAGGGACUGUGGCUGCACCUGUGGCAUCACGCACGAUGGAUUCCUCUGCACGGUCACAGGCAGCAUCUCUCUGCAUUCUCCUCUCACACGGUGAGAUGGGACUAGCAUGUCCACUCUACAGAUGAGAAGACCGAGGCCAAAAGGGAAUGAGGGCUGGGAUCUACUCAAGGUGCCUUCCAAACUCAGGACUCAGCUUUCGGAACAUUUGGACUAAUCACACCAGAGAAAUACUGUCCCCAAAUGAGACAGCAGGAAGACCCUCAGGGCGCAUCAGGUGCAACCCAGAUAGAGAAAGGAAGCCCAGAGUGCAGAGACUUGCUCCAGUUCCCACAGCGAGUUAGGAGGGAACAGAAAUGAGAGCCCUGGUACCUGGCUCCCAGCCCCGGGCUCUUUCAUCUUUGCCAUCCGCAAGGUGCUGGCCUUCUGUAAGCUCUUGAGGGCGUAACAUGGAGACAGAUCCAUGGGAUACCCAUCAGGACUAGGACUCCUAUGGGUGUUGCACCCCUAGAGAGAACCUGGACUCUGUCCAGUCUAGCACUGCAAAGAAUCCUACUGGGAUGUGGGGAGGUAGCAAGGGUCUGGAGCAUAUAGAGGACCUUGGAGCCGACUUCUUUCCUUUGUGUCUUUCCCAUUUAUUUCUUCCAUUUUCAAACCUUAUGUUCCUCCAAUAAGUGUUUCAGGGUGGUCGAGGAUGCUGGACAUGGACAUUGCAUUUGGGUUCAUCCCUCGACUUCUCAGAAGAAAGACAAAACUGUAAAAUGAAAUAUGAAAUCGGUUAUAAGAUGCAGAGACUAAAAUACUAGCUGUUUGUUCAAGGUGUAAAAUGUAUCAAGGUUUUUACUAAAAAGAGAAAAAAACAAAGACUCUGAGCAGUGAAAGGAACAUAGGAAGCAAACACCCUUGACCCAGGGAUGAGAGAGCAGCCAUCGGUGCAGCAGGGCAUUUCAGAACCAUGGACAAGGCCACAGACAGCUCUUCUGCCCACCCCACCCAAUGCCCCAUGCAGGUAUCCCUCUAAACAAAAGGUGCCCAGACAAUGUCUUAUGUUUCCCCCUGUUUCUCUGUCCAUCUCCUACAGCACAAAACAAAUGCAAGAACAAUCCAUGUGGCCGGGGCGAAUGUCUCAUCACGCACAGCCCCCCCUACUACCGCUGCGCCUGUAAAUACCCUUACACGGGUCCAGACUGCUCCAGAGGUAGGUGGUGGAACCCCCUUUUCUGCUUGUGCCUGAACCACUGCAUCUCAUUGUGUGCAAGUCCAGACGUAAAGUAACUGACGUUUCCAUGGCAUCCAUGAUGGCCUUCUGAACUAGAAUUUUAAGACUAAUCCUCCCUGGAGAGCCCAGUGGGAAUUGACUGAUCUGUGUCCCUUCCCAUCCAGAAAGAAUCAAAACCCACUCCCUCUGGGGAGUUGGCAUUAAAGGAUUCCUAAGAUGGGCCAUGCUGGGGGAUUAGUCUACCUUGAAUCACUGCUGAGUCAGGUGCUGUUCCAGGAGAUUUGCAAUCUCGUUCACAUUCUCCCAAAACUUUGCAAGGAAGAGUUUUAUAGAUGAAGAAACUGAAAUCAGACAGGUUAAUUAACUUGCUCAUGGCCACACAGCUAUGCAAGGCAAGAGCCAAGUUUCAGCCUAGCCCAGACUCAUCCCCAGUUUCUGCUCUGCCUAUGCCGGCCUCUUCUCCUUGCUGGGUGACCCAUCUACAUACAUGUGCUCUUUUUGCAUGGCCUCCACCUGUGUUGCUUCUUCCACAUCUGCUUAUGUUCCUAGAGCUCAUGUGUGCAUUUACUAGAAUGUCCAUGGGUCUGCCUCUCCCCUUUGGUGAUCCAUCUGUUGUAAAAGUUGACAGCAGAAAAGUGCCACCAAUAUCCCCUGGUCGUCUCAUAGGGAGGCUGCAACUCCUCCUGAGGAGCUCUCCUGGCCCCGAUUCCUGUGUUCACAGCGGCUCCUGUGUGCAGGCCCAAUCCCUGCCAGAACGGCGGCACCUGCUCGCGGCAUAAGCGGAGAUCCAGGUUUAGCUGCGCUUGCCCUGAGCAGUUCAGUGGGAGAUUCUGCGAAAUAGGUAUGGGUCUCAGCCACCGCUUCCCCGGAAACUCAGGGCCAUCAUGGAGGCCUCUGGAAUCCUCUUCUGCUUGGGUUUUGUUGCCAGAACACAGUUCAGUUGAGUUUCCCAAACCCUACUCCUGCCUCGUCCUCCCAACCCAAGGCUGUGUCUGGCUCCCGGUAAAGAUGGUAUAAUCUGGGACAUAUUGCAAGCAGAUGGAUCACACCUGGGCAUACCUGGGCUUCAAUUCACCCUCUACAUGUCCCUUUCUAGGCCCCAAGUUGAGAAUUUAACUUCUCACCCACCUCCCAACAAGUAUUUUUCAUGUUUUGAAGUUGGGUUCAGUGUGGAACUUUCUAGAACCUUGUGAUGAACUCUCUCCGAGUGAUAACUGAAAGGAAAGUGACCACAACACUCGGAGCGACCAAGAGAUCUUUUUGCAGAAGUGCAACAGAGGAGAAAAG